UGGCCGGCUUCAUGGACAGAUAAGAUACUAAUAUAAGAGUACAGAGAGUACAAAUGCUUACAAAUAAAUUAUCAGCUGAGCCGGCUGAGAGAGAGUUCAUGUAUAUAUGUGUGUGGAUCAUAAAAAGCUAAGAGAAGAAGAGGGAGCGUACAGCCUUGGUGAAAAGGGUAGUAGGCGUCGCAAGUACUUCCACCAUCUAACAACUAAACCGCCCAAAGCUGUACUCUCUCUCUUCUCCAUUUAGCCUUCACGAUAUGAUCGUCUAUCGAUCUCCUUCUCUUAGUUGCUCUAGAAGUUGGAUCCCUCUGGGUUUAU
rnacentral:precursor_RNA from 1 species